rnacentral:lncRNA from 1 species
AGUUAUAUUUGAAGUUGGAGGGCUCAGUUCAUAGUUAUAUUUGAAGAGUGACGGGUUCAGUCAUAGUUAUAUUUGAAGAGUGAGAGGGUUCAGUCAUAGUUAUAUUUGAGGGAGAGGGUUCAGUCAUAGUUAUAUUUGAAGAGGGAGAGGGUUCAGUCAUGUUAUAUUUGAAGAGGAGAGGUUCAGCAUAGUUAUAUUUGAGAGGGAGAGGGGCUCAGUCUAGUUAUAUUGAGAGGAGAGGGUCAGUCUCGUUAUAUUUGAAGAGGGAGAGAGGCUCAGUCAUAGUUAUAUUUGAAGAGGGAGAGGGCUCAGUCAUAGUUAUAUUUGAAGAGGGGCAGGGUCAGUCUAUUUAUUUUGAAGAGGGAGAGGUCAGUCUAGUUAUAUUUGAAGAGGGAGAGGGCUCAGUCAUAGUUAUAUUUGAAGAGGGAGAGGGUUCAGUCAUAGUUAUAUUUGAAGAGUGAGAGGGUUCAGUCAUAGUUAUAUUUGAAGAGGGAGAGGGUUCAGUAUAGUUAUAUUUGAAGGGAGAGGUUCAGUUAGUUAUAUUUGAGAGGGAGAGGGCUCUGUCUGUUUUCAUGUUUCUUCUAACUGUUUGGUGACACGUACAAAUGGUUUGCCGACGGAUCUAUGCAAUCGCCUCAUAUAAGUUUUUUAAAUUUGGAGUGAUUUUAAUAUUCGUGUUUGUUUUUGUAAUGUUGUUUUAUUAAUAAAAAUAAAAAUAAAAUGUUAUCACCAAGACUGUGACAGUCAAUUUAGUUUAAAAUUC